rnacentral:rRNA from 1 species
UACGUAGGGGGCAAGCGUUUGUCCGGAUUUAUUGGGCGUAAAGGAGCGUGUAGGCGGUUUGGUAGGUCCGCUGUGGAAAACUACGGAGGGCUCAACCCUCGAGACGCCGGUGGAAACCAUCAGGCUAGAGUCGGAAGAGGAGGAGUAGGAAGUUACCUCGGUGUAGCGGUGAAAUGCGCAGAUAUCAGGAAGAACACCCGGUGGCUAAGGCGGCUCUCUAGUACGUGACUGACGCUGAGACGGCGAAAGCGUGGGGAGCGAACAGG